rfam:Colius striatus contig76879, whole genome shotgun sequence.
GCACCUGCAUCUUUCCUGUGCCUUGCUGUGCAGUGCAAGCUGGGGCUACAGCACAGCAAUGGAAGUCCAGGUGACUUGUUUUCCACUGGUUUGGAACUCAUCUCAACACCUCUGCAACACUU